AUAAAAAUAUUAAAAAAUAUAGUCAAAAAAUUAACAUACCAAUACAUUUCUCAUUUAAAUAUUAAAAUGUCGAGCAAAAAAAUAUAUUUUCAAGCCAGACUUAAAAAAAAAUUUCAACACUGUGCAACGAGAUCACAUCCCAGACCCAAUCGAGCUUUUCCACUGCCAUUUAGCUUGCCCUCCCAACACUGCCUCCAAUUUUGAUUUAAUGAAUAACCAUGAUAGACCAGAUCUACUUACAGUCGUCAGAGAACCAGUAACAUGAAUUUCUUGUAUAAGAACUUUCAUCCUUUUUUAUUUUUUUGGGUGGGGGUAUAAGGCAAUCAAAUAGCAACGAAAAUCUUUAGCAACCAACCAAAUCAAGCCGAGAACUAGACCCCCCACAAACCAUCAUAUAAUUUGUUCGUUAAUAUCACACUGAAAGGGGAUACUCACCCCGUGGAUCCAUAAAUAUUAUAAAGACACGCUUAAAGAAGCAAAUUCUAGGUUCAAAUUAUAUAAACAUUACGCUUGUCCAUCACAUUGAAGGUAUAUCCUACAUUCAAUUUGAUCGGCUUCUAAUAACAUCGAGGCCCAUUUCUGUAGGAUCAGUAGCUUGCAACUCUACCUGGAUACCGUCCAAUUCCCUCUUGAACCUGUCCUUGGAACUAGCAUAAAUCAUCUUGCUUCUCACUUUCGAUGUAUCAGGAGACCUUUACACGCACCAAAUAAAAAUGAGUAAAUAAAACAAAAUAUCAUAAAAGCACAAUUGAAUAAUAAUAAUUUGGAGAAAAUAAAAGCUAUCCAUUUACCAAGCAAUAAAUACAAUCCUACUCUUCUGGCAGUUCUCAUCCGUUACAUAAUCAAAAUCAUAGACAGCAUAUCGGCACUCAUCAGCUGGAAGGCUUGCAGUGAAGUCCUCAUAGCUAUUUGUUGGCUCACCAAGUUUCUCCACAAUCACCUGCUUCUGCUUCUCCUCAAUCUUGAAAACAAUGAAGCGAUAGGUCCUCUUCGCCUUCAAUUCUAAAAACUUCAGCUUGCAGUCAUCAUGCACAGCGAUCCCAGAUGCUGCAUUUGCCUGAAAAUGGAAACAAAUACUAGUAUCAAAAAUUGACUGGGAAAAACAGAAACACUAGUUCUACAAAUGGUUGGAAUUUGGAAAUCCACAUUCUUUACACCUGAUAAAAACAUCUAUUAGUCAAGAACUAGAAUAAGAACAGCAGCAAUGACAAUUUCCAAGUUGCUCAGUUUAGGCCCCAUUAUUUGCUUAGUGCUGCUUUACAGGGUGGAUAAUUGAUUUGUAACCUUUUCUUGCACCCUACUUAGCACCAUCCAUAUAAUCAAUGGUCCAGCUUGCUUUUGCAUACUGAUACAAGAAUUAGGAGUACACAUAAUCUUUUACUCGUGCAAUUCAGCUUGUAAAAUUGGUCGACUAAAGGAGCCAUUUUUCCCUCAAUAGAAUACUCAGAUAAAACACCGUUAUUUUCAAGAACAAAUUAUUGGGUGUGACUCUAGUGCACCAGCAUUAUACAACUUUAAAAUUUCUGUCCAGUAAACGCCGUCAACAAAUAUUACAAACUCAUAGCACUUUUUAACAGUAGAAUAAAUUACCUUUCAGUCUCAGGUUACUCCUAAAAAAUCUAGCAUAUAUUUUACAGUUCACAAUUAGUAAGAUCCUUGACUCAAGAUCAUUCAUUUCCAAAUUACAAAGAAUUUUCACCUUCUCCCAUAAUUUAAAAAAAAAGGACAGGAUAAAAAAUAAAAAAUAAAAUCUCCAAAUUGUUCGCUUUUUAAAAUUUACCCAACAUGGUAAAAGAACUUGAGCAAAUGAAAGUUAUACCCUCUCUUAGAAAUUGUCACUGCCAUCCUUAUGUCAAACAACAAUAUCACCAUCAUCGCUAUCAUCCAGCAUGCCAUUAAAAAUUAAACUAAGAGAAUAAAUAAAUAAAUAUAGCAAUCAAACAAGUGAAGGAGACAGCUAAAAUAAAAUAAGAGGAAGAUAAAUUAACAAGCAACACUACAAAAUUCCUUUAAAAUUGAGGAAACCAAUUAUAUAAUUGAAUUUUUUUUUUUAAGAAAAAAAAGAAAACCCGGCUGGAAAGCACACAACAAAGCCUAAAAUUAACCAUUGCCUCAAGUACCACAUAUUGCAGGCGCAAAAUGGUAAUUAAGAGUAUCAAUUUCAAAGAAAAACAGCAUACUCCAAAACUAAACGGCAACCCACACACUACACUGUCUACAUAUUAAUAAUGAGACAAAUAGACAUGGUUAUUAUCAUCAUCAUACCGAAAACAAUCGAUUCAAAUUACAAAGAUCAUCAAAUCAAGCAAGCGAAGCAAAGUCCAAUUGAUGCAUUACUCGAUUGUAAAAAGGUACAACUUAGAUCGUUGAACCACCAAAAACCUAAUCAAAACUUACGAUCCAGCAAAAUUUUUCACAAAUCACAUAAAAAUUUCAUAUCAAACUUUAUCCAUCAAACACACACAUCAUCAUCAUCAUCAUCGUCAAAAACCGUUGAAACAAAAGAAGCGAAGAAAGCGAUUUAAAAUUGAAAUUAAAGCUCAGAGAAUUAAUACAGUUUUAUAGGAGUCGCUUACCAUUUUCUCAAGAAAAUUAUAACCGACAACAAAGAGCGAGAAAAUCUAGGGCUUGGAGAGAGAGAGAGAGAAGUGGUGGUGAUGAUGAAGAUAAACUUUCUUUUGCUUGAAAAUGCGAAACCCUUUCCUUUCUCUCACGUUUGGUAUGUGUGGUCGCGCUACCUAGCUUGCAUCACAGUCACAAUCACGGUCACGGUCAAUGAUAAAUGGCAAGGUAAAGGCUUUUAAUCCACUAAAGAGUUGACACGUGUUGCAUAUGGUGGAAAAGUAUGCCACGUCUUGGCCGGUGAGAUUGGCAUGCGUGUCACGUAAUGAGCGUGCUUCGUAGUGGAGAUAAUUGUAGUGGUCCGAUGUCGUUUAGCUUCAC
rnacentral:misc_RNA from 1 species